rnacentral:rRNA from 1 species
AUUGAACGCUGGCGGCAGGCCUAACACAUGCAAGUCGAACGGUAACAGGAAGCAGCUUGCUGAUUCGCUGACGAGUGGCGGACGGGUGAGUAAUGUCUGGGAAACUGCCUGAUGGAGGGGGAUAACUACUGGAAACGGUAGCUAAUACCGCAUAAUGUCGCAAGACCAAAGAGGGGGACCUUCGGGCCUCUUGCCAUCGGAUGUGCCCAGAUGGGAUUAGCUUGUUGGUGGGGUAACGGCUCACCAAGGCGACGAUCCCUAGCUGGUCUGAGAGGAUGACCAGCCACACUGGAACUGAGACACGGUCCAGACUCCUACGGGAGGCAGCAGUGGGGAAUAUUGCACAAUGGGCGCAAGCCUGAUGCAGCCAUGCCGCGUGUAUGAAGAAGGCCUUCGGGUUGUAAAGUACUUUCAGCGGGGAGGAAGGGAGUAAAGUUAAUACCUUUGCUCAUUGACGUUAUCCGCAGAAGAAGCACCGGCUAACUCCGUGCCAGCAGCCGCGGUAAUACGGAGGGUGCAAGCGUUAAUCGGAAUUACUGGGCGUAAAGCGCACGCAGGCGGUUUGUUAAGUCAGAUGUGAAAUCCCCGGGCUCAACCUGGGAACUGCAUCUGAUACUGGCAAGCUUGAGUCUCGUAGAGGGGGGUAGAAUUCCAGGUGUAGCGGUGAAAUGCGUAGAGAUCUGGAGGAAUACCGGUGGCGAAGGCGGCCCCCUGGACGAAGACUGACGCUCAGGUGCGAAAGCGUGGGGAGCAAACAGGAUUAGAUACCCUGGUAGUCCACGCCGUAAACGAUGUCGACUUGGAGGUUGUGCCCUUGAGGCGUGGCUUCCGGAGCUAACGCGUUAAGUCGACCGCCUGGGGAGUACGGCCGCAAGGUUAAAACUCAAAUGAAUUGACGGGGGCCCGCACAAGCGGUGGAGCAUGUGGUUUAAUUCGAUGCAACGCGAAGAACCUUACCUGGUCUUGACAUCCACGGAAGUUUUCAGAGAUGAGAAUGUGCCUUCGGGAACCGUGAGACAGGUGCUGCAUGGCUGUCGUCAGCUCGUGUUGUGAAAUGUUGGGUUAAGUCCCGCAACGAGCGCAACCCUUAUCCUUUGUUGCCAGCGGUCCGGCCGGGAACUCAAAGGAGACUGCCAGUGAUAAACUGGAGGAAGGUGGGGACGACGUCAAGUCAUCAUGGCCCUUACGACCAGGGCUACACACGUGCUACAAUGGCGCAUACAAAGAGAAGCGACCUCGCGAGAGCAAGCGGACCUCAUA